AUAGAUCUACUGCCUAAGGUUAAACCGGGAUUGUCGUUAUUUCGACCACCGGCCGACCAAAUAAGUAAAACUUUGCAAAAGAAACGGCAAAGACGAAGACUUCCUGUACGUGUACGGAACAUUUAAAGAAAUGUCCAUCCUGUUCAUUUCAAAGUAGAGGUCACUCGGAAUAUAUUAAGAAAGACCACAUGGCCGAGUGUUAUGAAACCAGACACUUUUGUAGAAGAUGUAAUUAUUCGACAGAUAAGAAAGGCAUCUAAGAGAGAAACCAUCCAGACGAAGUUGAGAAAGGUCAAGGCAGCCAACAGUUUGAUAAUUUAAAGGGUACUAAAUCCAGUGAAGAUAGUUUAUCAAGAGAUAACCACGAAGAAGAGUCUUCAGAUGAAGAGGAGUGGCUCUCACAAGAACCUGACUUUACCACUGGUGAAGAAUCGGGUAUCAGUCACGAAGAACCCAGUGAAUGUACAGCUAACAAUGGAUCUUACACCCUGCGAGAAAGCCGUCGACCCAACUGUUAGAAAGAGGACGCACCCCCUGUUCGUGUAUACACAUGACCGUUGCAAGACACCGGGGCUGUUGACAAGACAAAUGACCCCAUGUGCAAAGUUGAAGAUAAGGCUGUUCGGGCGGACCCAGUUGCAUAUACGACGUCGAUUAAGACGACGUCCGGGAGCACGAACGCAAGACAAUCACUAUAGGGGGGGGGGGGGGGGGGAGAAGAUGCGAUGAUCUAUCAGUACUUACAAAAUCGAAUUGUCUCAGACAGAUCUAUAGACUAAUUAAAUUGAGAAGCAAUGUUUCAAAGAAUUCAUUUGUUUUAUUUUAAUUACAUACUAGUAAUUAAAUGCUUAUUUAAUAGUUUUAUUCAUUUAUUUAUUUAUUGAAAGAAUAAAGAAUAUCAUUCUUUGAGUUUACAAAAACGUAUAAUUCUGGCCGGAGCGUGGUCACAUCCAAUCAAGUCCGAAGAGAUUUAUGAUAGAUUUGAUCUCGCGCCUAGACUAGCUGAAGUCAUCACCUCAAAUAUUCAAACAAUGAUUCCUUAAUACUUAUAUUUACAAAAUUGUCAGACAUUAUUAUCAUAUGAUGAAAUAUAUUAGAAUAUUAAUAUUU
rnacentral:misc_RNA from 1 species